rnacentral:rRNA from 1 species
UACGAAGGGUGCAAGCGUUAAUCGGAAUUACUGGGCGUAAAGCGCGCGUAGGUGGUUCAGCAAGUUGGAUGUGAAAGCCCUGGGCUCAACCUGGGAACUGCAUCCAAAACUACUGAGCUAGAGUACGUAGAGGGGUAGUGGAAUUUCCGGUGUAGCGGUGAAAUGCGUAGAUAUCGGAAGGAACACCAGUGGCGAAGGCGACUUCCUGGACAAAUACUGACACUGAGACACGAAAGCGUGGGGAGCAAACAGGAUUAGAAACCCCUGUAGU